AAGUCGUAACAAGGUUUCCGUAGGUGAACCUGCGGAAGGAUCAUUAUCGAAUCAACAGAGGGUUGUUGCUGGGUGUCAAAGACAUCAAGUGCACGCCUUCGUUCGUUCUCAAACCCCUGUGCACCUAUUGUAGGCUUGGUCUAGGGCUGACUUCGGUCAGUUUGAAGCCAGCCUAUGUUUCACACACGCUUCAGUUUAGAAUGUCAUUUGCGGAUAACGCAUCUUAUACAACUUUCAGCAACGGAUCUCUUGGCUCUC
rnacentral:misc_RNA from 1 species